UUUCAGUUUUGUAAAGUGUUGCUGAGGAUGCGGUAGGAUACGAAUUAAGCUUGAAUCAGUGCUAACCCAACGCUGGUUCUGCUUGGGUCAGCAGCGUGUUAAUCGGAACUAGAAACGGAAACAGGCAGGUUAGCCGCAGCUUUUUAGGAAGCUGCUUAGGUGGAAGAAGAAAGGGUUUAAAGUCAUGGAUCAGGCGGUUGCCCAUAGUUUUCAGGAGUUGUUUCAGGCCAGAGGAGUAAGGCUUGAAGUACAAUUAGUAAAAAACUUUUUAGGUAAGAUAGAUAGCUGUUGCCCAUGGUUCAAGGAAGAAGAAACACUAGAUUGUGGAACCUGGGAGAAAGUUGGUGAGGCCUUAAAAAUCACUCAGGCAGAUAAUUUUACCCUAGGCCUCUGGGCGCUCGUAAAUGAUGCAAUAAAAGAUGCCACUUCCCCAGGGCUAAGUUGCCCCCAGGCGGAGCUUGUGGUAUCUCAGGAGGAGUGCCUGUCAGAGAGGGCCUCCUCAGAAAAAGAUCUUCUUAACUCAAAAACUGAUAAAUGUGGAAACUCGGAUGAAAAACUGAUUUUUAACAAAAAUCACUCAGAUAGAGGAGCUGCCCAUUACCUUAAUGAGAAUUGGUCCUCUUGUGAAUCUCCCGCUCCACCUGUAGUCCCCACUUCGGGAGGUGCCACUCAUAGGGACACACGACUAAGCGAGUUAGAGUUUGAGAUUAAGCUUCAGAGGCUGACUAAUGAGCUUCGGAAACUAAAAAAGAUGUCAGAAGCGGAGAAGAGUAACUCUUCUGUAGUUCACCAGGUGCCGCUAGAAAAGGUUGUGAGUCAGGCUCGUGGGAAAGGACAGAAUAUGUCUAAUACGCUAGCCUUUCCGGUAGUCGAGGUAGUUGAUCAGCAAGAUACUAGGGGCAGACAUUACCAGACCUUAGAUUUCAAGUUGAUAAAAGAGUUAAAGGCGGCUGUUGUGCAAUAUGGCCCUUCAGCCCCAUUCACUCAAGCAUUACUGGACACAGUUGUGGAGUCACACUUAACCCCUUUAGAUUGGAAGACUCUUUCUAAGGCUACCCUGUCAGGAGGAGAUUUUUUGCUUUGAGAUUCUGAAUGGCGAGACGCCAGUAAGAAAACUGCUGCUUCUAACGCUCAGGCUGGUAAUUCAGACUGGGAUAGCAACAUGCUU
rnacentral:lncRNA from 1 species